rnacentral:lncRNA from 1 species
AUUGAUAAAUAUAUAUUGUUUGUAUAUAUGUCUACAUUAUGAUUCUAUUUUAUAUUGUAUGAAUUUUAGUUUAUGCUUAGAUUUAUCCAUUAAUUAAUAUAUUGUUUGUAUAUAUACGUUAUGAAACAUAGACGGUAGCCAGCUCUAACCCAAAAUGCAUGCAUGGCUUCACAUGAGUAUAUUGGUUACCUCCAUUAUUUAUUUGUAAAUGCACAGGAUACUUACAGAGAGUGAUAAGAAGUUGACUGUGAGUACCUAAUAAUUUAGGGGGGAUUGUUUGAUUGUAUAUUUGUAAAUUUAAAAUAAUUUAUAAAUAAAACUUUUAUAUACAUAGUCUUAGCGUAAAAAACGAAAGCUAAAAAAUAAACUCUAAAUUUAAAAUUGAAAAAAAAAUCAAAAUUUAGAUUAUAAUCAUAAGUAGAAGAAAAAAGAUGAUGGUGCCAGCCUAAAUAAGGCUAGCUACUGCAUUGCUCUAAUACUGUCACAUUGAAAAUGCUUUAUGAAUGUGUACUCCAUGCAUGUUUUUUACAGGGCAAAAUUUAAGACAGCAUUUCUCUUGCGCUCACACACAAACAAAAGCUUUGCAAUAUUACAUAAAAGGUACUACAAUGCUCUCAGAAUCAGAUGUGUAUAUACAGGAGUUUUACUUCCAUCCUUUCUUUUAUACCUUGAGGUAUCGGUACCUCGACGUACUAAAUUUCUCACCGUUAGAUCUAGCUAAGUAGGAUAUGCACUGGAUCCAACGAUCAGAAACAAUUUGAUACUACGAGGUAUCGGUACCUCGAGGUACAAAAGGAAGGAUGAGAAUAAAACUGAUAUAUAUACAGAAGAGUACUU